CCCUGUAUCGAAUGGGACUGUGGCAUGUCUGGUUGCCAGGUCACUGACAAUGCAGGAAGAGAAAACUGAAAGUCUUUCCCGUGUUUGCUAGACAACCAUGUUCUUGACAAACCCUGUAUCUUUCAGACA
ensembl:snoRNA SNORA71 Small nucleolar RNA SNORA71